UGGGGAAUAUUGCACAAUGGGCGCAAGCCUGAUGCAGCCAUGCCGCGUGUGUGAAGAAGGCCUUCGGGUUGUAAAGCACUUUCAGCGAGGAGGAAGGUGGUGAGCUUAAUACGCUCAUCAAUUGACGUUACUCGCAGAAGAAGCACCGGCUAACUCCGUGCCAGCAGCCGCGGUAAUACGGAGGGUGCAAGCGUUAAUCGGAAUUACUGGGCGUAAAGCGCACGCAGGCGGUUUGUUAAGUCAGAUGUGAAAUCCCCGGGCUCAACCUGGGAACUGCAUUUGAAACUGGCAAGCUAGAGUCUCGUAGAGGGGGGUAGAAUUCCAGGUGUAGCGGUGAAAUGCGUAGAGAUCUGGAGGAAUACCGGUGGCGAAGGCGGCCCCCUGGACGAAGACUGACGCUCAGGUGCGAAAGCGUGGGGCAGCAAACAGGAUUAGAUACCCUGGUAGUCCAGCGCUGUAAAACGAUGUCGAUUUGGAGGUUGUGCCCUUGAGGCGUGGCUUCCGGAGCUAACGCGUUAAA
rnacentral:rRNA from 1 species